rnacentral:rRNA from 1 species
AUUGAACGCUGGCGGCAUGCUUUACACAUGCAAGUCGGACGAGUGGCGAACGGGUGAGUAAUAUAUUGGAACGUACCGAGUAAUGGGGGAUAACCAAUCGAAAGAUUGGCUAAUACCGCAUACUAUUCGAGCGGCCAAUCUCGGAUUAGGUAGUUGGUGGGGUAAAGGCCUACCAAGGCGACGAGCAGUAGCGGGUCUGAGAGGAUGAUCCGCCACACUGGGACUGAGACACGGCCCAGACUCCUACGGGAGGCAGCAGUGGGGAAUUUUGGACAAUGGGCGCAAGCCUGAUCCAGCCAUGCCGCGUGUAUGAAGAAGGCCUUCGGGUUGUAAAGUACUUUUGGUGGGGAAGCGGUACCUACAGAAUAAGCACCGGCUAACUACGUGCCAGCAGCCGCGGUAAUAC